rnacentral:other from 1 species
GAGUGUCGUGCAGCCUCCAGGCCCCCCCCUCCCGGGAGAGCCAUAGUGGUCUGCGGAACCGGUGAGUACACCGGAAUCGCUGGGGUGACCGGGUCCUUUCUUGGACCAACCCGCUCAAUACCCAGAAAUUUGGGCGUGCCCCCGCAAGAUCACUAUCCGAGUAAUGUUGGGUCGCGAAAGGCCUUGUGGUACUG